GAAGAAGGCCUUCGGGUUGUAAACUGCUUUUGUACGGAACGAAAAGGCUCUGGUGAAUACCUGGGGCUCAUGACGGUACCGUAAGAAUAAGCACCGGCUAACUACGUGCCAGCAGCCGCGGUAAUACGUAGGGUGCAAGCGUUAAUCGGAAUUACUGGGCGUAAAGCGUGCGCAGGCGGUUUUGUAAGACAGGCGUGAAAUCCCCGGGCUCAACCUGGGAAUUGCGCUUGUGACUGCAAGGCUGGAGUGCGGCAGAGGGGGAUGGAAUUCCGCGUGUAGCAGUGAAAUGCGUAGAUAUGCGGAGGAACACCGAUGGCGAAGGCAAUCCCCUGGGCCUGCACUGACGCUCAUGCUCGAAAGCGUGGGGAGCAAACAGGAUUAGAUACCCUGGUAGUCCACGCCCUAAACGAUGUCAACUGGUUGUUGGGU
rnacentral:rRNA from 1 species